UACGUAGGCAGCAAACGUUGUUCGGAAUUACUGGGCGUAAAGAGUGUGUAGGCGGUGUUCUAAGUUUGUCGUGAAAUCUCCCGGCUUAACUGGGAGGGUGCGGCGAAAACUGGAAUGCUAGAGGAUGGGAGAGGUAAGCGGAAUUCCUGGUGUAGCGGUGAAAUGCGUAGAUAUCAGGAGGAACACCUGUGGUGUAGACAGCUUACUGGACCAUUUCUGACGCUGAGACACGAAAGCGUGGGUAGCAAACAGG
rnacentral:rRNA from 1 species